rnacentral:rRNA from 1 species
CAGUAGCCGCGGUAAUACGAAGGGUGCAAGCGUUAAUCGGAAUUACUGGGCGUAAAGCGUGCGCAGGCGGUUUGUUAAGAUAGAUGUGAAAUCCCCGGGCUUAACCUGGGAACUGCAUUUGUGACUGGCCGGCUAGAGUAUGGCAGAGGGAGGUGGAAUUCCACGUGUAGCAGUGAAAUGCGUAGAUAUGUGGAGGAACACCGAUGGCGAAGGCAGCCUCCUGGGCCAAUACUGACGCUCAUGCACGAAAGCGUGGGGAGCAAACAGGAUUAGAUACCCCCGUAGUCCCUGUCUCUUAUAC